rnacentral:rRNA from 1 species
ACCAAAAACAUUCUUGAAAAACAUAAGAGGUCCAGCCGCCAGUGAUUAUGUUCAACGGCCGCGGUAUCUACCGUGCGAAGGAGCAUGUUUUUAAAAGGAUGUUGAAGGCAUCCGAGGGUUAUACUGUCUCCUUUUUCUAAUCAUGAAACUAAUCUUCCCGUGAAGAAGCGGGAAUAAUUUUAUAAGACGAGAAGACCCUAUGGAGCUUUAAAUAAACAACAAAUAUCUACUUAUCUAAAUUAAGAAAACCAAAAUUAUCAGAUAUAUGAUUGCUAGUUUUAGGUUGGGGUGACCAUGGAGAACAAUACAACCCCCAUGUCGAAAUGAUUUUAAAAUUAGCUGCGAGUAACAACUCCAGCAUCAACACCUUGACGUCAAUUGACCCAAUUUUUAUCAAGAACCUGAUUGAUUGACCGAGCGGCU